UACGUAGGGUGCGAGCGUUGUCCGGAAUUACUGGGCGUAAAGAGCUCGUAGGUGGUUUGUCGCGUUGUUCGUGAAAUCCCACGGCUUAACUGUGGGCGUGCGGGCGAUACGGGCAGACUGGAGUACUGCAGGGGAGACUGGAAUUCCUGGUGUAGCGGUGGAAUGCGCAGAUAUCAGGAGGAACACCGAUGGCGAAGGCAGGUCUCUGGGCCGCAACUGACGCUGAGGAGCGAAAGCAUGGGGAGCGAACAGG
rnacentral:rRNA from 1 species